rnacentral:rRNA from 1 species
AAUUACAGGCAGGUAGUGGAUGCCUUGGGAUGUAAAGGCGAUGAAGGACGUGGCGUGACUGCGAUAAGCCUCGGGGAACAGUUUAGCAUGUUUUGAUCCGGGGAUUUCCGAAUGGGGAAACCUGGUUUGUGGAAACACAGAUCGUCUGGUCGUAAGAUCAGAAGCGAACCCGCUGAAGUGAAACAUCUCAGUAAGCGGAGGAAAAGAGAACGCAAGUUUAUUCCCUUAGUAGCGGCGAGCGAAAAGGGAGGAGCCUAAACCCUAUGCUUUAUGUAUGGGGUGUUGUAAGACUAUAGUGUCGGGAGUUGUUUUUAAGCGCUACGCGAUUUUGGAGAUCUCGAUAGUGGGGUCCCCGAAAUUGCGAGGUGAUUUAAUAAUAAUUUCUGAGGGAGAAUAUUUAGAUAAAGUGGUUAGAAGAACGUCCCUGGAACGGACGGCCAAAGAGGGUAAAAGCCCCGUAUUCGAAAACUACCUUUAUGCUCCUUGCUAUUUUUCUUGAGUACCUCGGGACACGAAUAUCCCGUGGGAAGCUUCCGGGACUAUCCGGAAAGGCUAAAUACUUUACAUCACCGAUAGUGAACUAGUACCGUGAGGGAAAGGUGAAAAGUAGCCCGGUGAGGGCGAUGAAAUAGAACCUGAAACUAUCUUGCCUACAACGAAUCGGAGGGGAGUUUACUCCCUGACGGUGUGCUUUUUGCAGAACGAGCCAACGAGUGUUCCUAUCAGCUCCGUCUAAACGCCUCUGGCGUGCAGGCACAGCGAAAGCGAGUGUGAAUAGCGCGACCAAAAGAGCUGCUGGGAACGACCCGAAGCCAAGCGAGCUUGCCAUGAGCAGGGUGAAGGAUGACGAAAGUCGUCUGGAGGCCCGAACCCGUAGAUCGUUCAACGUCUUGGGAUGACUUGUGGUAAGAAGUGAAAAGCUAAUCGAGCUUGGUAAUAGCUGGUUCUCUCCGAAAUAGCUUUAGGGCUAGCGUCGAGAAGCAAAUUCUGGAGGUAGAGCUCUGAAAAGAGCGCUCUUGGAGCAAUCCAGGCGUUUUUAUCAAACUUCGAAUGCCAGAAUCCUAGACUCGGCAGUCAGAACGUGGGGGCUAAGCUCCGCGCUCAAAAGGGAAACAGCCCAGAUCUUCAUCUAAGGUCCCUAAAUCAAGCUAAGUGCAAAACAAGGAGGUGAAACUCCAGUGAUAGCUAGGAGGUUCGCUUAGAAGCAGCUAUCCUUUAAAAAUAGCGUAACAGCUUACUAGCUAAGGAGUUUUGCGCCGUAAAUUUAUCGGGGCUAAGCUUGGUACCGAAGAUAAGGACUUUCGUAUUUAUACGAAAGUGGUAGGAGAGCGUCCUCUUUGCAAUGAAGGUGAGUCGUGAGGCUUGCUGGAGCGGAGAGGAGUGAGAAUGUUGGCAUGAGUAACCACAAUGCAAGUGAAAUCCUUGCACACCGAAAACCUAAGGUUUCCUUGGCAAUGACAAUCACCCAAGGGUUAGGCGGCCCUAAGUGCUGCAUCAAACGGUGUAGUGCGAUGGACAGAAGGUUAAUAUUCCUUCCCCUUGUCAUAUGCUUUUUCAGAUGACGGAGUGUAGUAGCUCUUGUGAAUUAAUGGAUUUUUGUCCUUGACGUAAGGGGUAACCUAAGCGUAGAGGCGACUCGCUGUUAUGGCGAGGAGAAGAGUGAGCACGCUUCCCGGAAAAGCUCUGAAAGUUUGAGUAUGAUGAGUCCGUACCGUAAACCGACACAGGUGGGUUGGUAUCAAUGUACUAAGGUGAACGGGUGAAAGCUCCUGAAGGAACUCGGCAAAUUAGUGGUCGUAACUUCGGGAUAAGACCUCCCUGUAGCAAUACAGGGCGCAGCAAACGUAUUCCUGGCGACUGUUUACCAAAAACACAGGUCCCUGCAUAACUCGUAAGAGGAAGUAUAGGGGCUGACGCCUGACCAGUGCUGGAGUGUUAAGUCUGCGGGUGGUUUUGAGCAAUCAAAACUGCUCAGUGGGUGAAGCCCCAGUGAACGUCCGCGGUAACUAUAACCGUGUUAAAGUAGCGUAAUCCCUUGCCUGGUAAGUUCAGGCCCGCAUGAAAGGCGUAACGACUGGGAAACUGUCUCCAGGAGCUGCCCGGUGAAAAUGCAAUACCGGUAAAGAUGCCGGUUACCUGCGGCUAGACGGAAAGACCCCGGGAGCUUUACUAUAGCUUCUUAUUGUCUUGUCAUUUUACCUGCGUAGAAUAGCAGGGAGGCUUUGAUGUCUGUUUUUCGGAAUGGGCGGAGCCGACAGUGAAAUACCUGUCUGGUAAGAGGGUAAGACUAAUUCUGCGUAUGCAGAUGACAGUGGGAGGUGGGUAGUUUUAGUGGGGCGCUAGCCUCCUAAAGAGUAGCGGAGGCGUUUACAAGGUCAGCUAAGUCCGGAUGGAAAUCGGACCGGUCGUGUAAAGGCGCAAGCUGGCUUUACUGCGAGACGGAUAUGUCGAGCAGUUGCGAAAGCAGAACUUAGUGAACCGAUACGCCGUAAUAGAAGGCGUAAAGAUCAUCAACCAAAAGUUACCCCGGGGAUAACAGGCUGGUAGUGCCCACGAGUCCAUAUCUACGGCACUGUUCGGCACCUCGAUGUCGGCUCAUCUUAUCCUGGGGGUGGAGAAGCUCCCAAGGGUUUGGCUGUUCGCCAAUUAAAAAGGUACGCGAGCUGGGUUCAGACCGUC